rnacentral:rRNA from 1 species
GGCCGCAGAGUUUGAUCAUGGCUCAGAGCGAACGUUAGCGGCGGGCCUAACACAUGCAAGUCGAACGAGAAUGAGGGCUACGGCUCUCUAGUAAAGUGGCGGACGGGUGCGUAACACGUAGGUAAUCUACCUUCCGGCGGGGGACAACAGUCCGAAAGGAUUGCUAAUACCGCGUACGUCGGCGGAGUCUUCGGAUUCCGUCGGGAAAGAUGGCCUCUCCAUGGAAGCUGUCACCGGAAGAUGAACCUGCGGCCCAUCAGCUUGUUGGUGAGGUAACGGCCCACCAAGGCGAAGGCGGGUAGCUGGUCUGAGAGGAUGAUCAGCCACACUGGGACUGCGACACGGCCCAGACUCCUACGGGGGGCAGCAGUGGGGAAUAUUGGGCAAUGGGCGAAAGCCUGACCCAGCCACGCCGCGUGAGUGAUGAAGGCCUUCGGGUCGUAAAGCUCUGUGGGGAGGGACGAACAAGUCUGGUGUUAACACCACCGGGCCCUGACGGUACCUCCUUAGCAAGCACCG